AGCCGACCCCAGUUAUACAGUUUCCGCGCUAUUUGUUAUCUAUUAAGUGGAUCAGAAUUUUUGAAAAACCCACGCCAUUUACAAAGAGCAAGGAUUUAGAAUGGGGGAUAUUUUCGGUAAAUGGGCUGCUCCCAGAGCUUGACUACAGUGUACCAUUCCAGAGUGAGAAGUUUAGUUUCAUUGUGUUGAUGUUAGCCGAAUAUAUGACUUUCAUGGACAGGAGUAUCGAGCAUAUAGGGCUAAGAAAUUCAGUGAAACACAUCUGUUGCAACCAUAACAAUCGAAAUGUGUGAAAAACUUUUCAGACAAUUGUGAAACUGUGACCAUUGGGAUGCUGUGAAGUCUUGAUAUCUAAUGGCAAUGGGUUAUACUGUGGAUUUAUUUCGUUCAUUUUGUGAA